GAGAGACGGCCAUUACUUCUAAGGAAGGCAGCAGGCGCGUAAAUUACCCAAUCCUAAUACGGGAGGUAGUGACAAGAAAUAUUGAUAUUGGACCCAAAGGGUACAAUGAUUGAAAUGAGAACAAUAUAAAAAACUUAACGACUAACAAUUGGAGGGCAAGUCUGGUGCCAGCAGCCGCGGUAAUUCCAGCUCCAAGAGUGUAUAUUAAAGUUGUUGCGGUUAAAAAGCUCGUAGUUGAAUUUCUGAAAAUAAUCUUGUGAUUGAUUUAACCGUCAUGAACAAAAAUUGUUUACAUACUUGAUAGAUGGAAACAUUUAUCUUAAUGACUUUGAAAAAAUUAGAGUGUUCAAAGCAUGAUUCACAUUUGAAUAAUACAGCAUGGGAUAAUAUAAUAUGACAUUAGUUAAAAAUUUGUUGGUUUCUUUGGCUAAUGUAAUGAUUAAAAG
rnacentral:rRNA from 1 species